GCGCACGCAUGAUUGCGGAGUUAAGAAGCCUGCCUUGCAACCACGUGCUUUCAGGUUCAGUUCCGCCUGCGCGGCACCUUGGUGAAUCCAAACAAAGAAGAGCAAACAAGAAAAACAAUAACCCGAGGGCGUGGUACUAGUACUGUAUUAUCAGAAAGGAAGGAAAGAGAAUUUAACAUUUCGAGCAAAGCUCUUCUUCAGAAAUAGACGAAAGUCCAAAGGAAGGGAAGACGGAGGAAGAAAAUCGCCAACGAUACAUACGUGAUUCAAUGGACUGCAACCAUGCUGGAACACCGCCUUGAAGGAUUCAAUCGAACAACUCCAGUAUCUAAGCCACUAAGAGGCAUAAACAAACCAAGACCGGUUGUCAACUGUUGCGGUGGACACAAGCAAAAUGACACAUGUACACACGCAUAUAUAUGACAGACAUCCACACAGUUUCGGUUUAAACAAUUUUCUCA